rnacentral:rRNA from 1 species
AUGGCUUCUGGUGCUCAGAUGAAGAUGGUUGCCGUCGGCAUGAUGCUGGCCAUCAUGUUCAUCGCUGCAGCUAAUGCAGAACCAGCGCCUGCAGAAACUUGCAUCGACAAGACCGAAAAAGUUGGUCUUGCCACUGACUGCAUCUGCUCCAAGAACUGUGCUUGUGCAGGAAAGUGCAUCUUAGAAGGCGGCGAGGGUGGCGAAAUCCAGAAGUGCUUUGUCGAAUGCGUGCUGAAAAAUGACUGCAACUGCAAUGCUAAGCACCACAUGAGGCAGCGUGGCGCCCACUCCAGCAGCAGCGGCCGGAGGGUGUGGAGCACGUUCGGCAAGAUCGGGGAGGCCCUUUGGCUAACCACCAAGGGUCUCGGUGAGGCGGAGAUCGAGUUCCACGAGGCGAAGGAGGCGUUCGAAGCAAGAGAAGAAGGCGCCGCCGCAUGGCUCGAGGCGGCCAAAGAGAGCUACGACCUCGCCUACACUUUCGACCGCUCUGCGACUGACUACAACCUCAACGUCAAGCCUAGACUAGUUUAG